AUUGAACGCUGGCGGCAGGCCUAACACAUGCAACUCGAACGAGGGGCGGACGGGUGAGUAAUGUCGGGGAAACUGCGUGAUGGAGGGGGAUAACUACAGGAAACGGUAGCUAAUCCCGCAUAACAUAGGAUGUGCCCAGAUGGGAUUAGCUAGUAGGUGGGGUAAAGGCUCCCCUAGGCGUCGAUCCCUAGAUGGUCUGAGAGGAUGACCAGCCACACUGGAACUGAGACACGGUCCAGACUCCGACGGGAGGCAGCAGUGGGGAAUAUUGCACAAUGGGCGCAAGCCUGAUGCAGCCAUGCCGCGUGGAUGAAGAAGGCCUUCGGGUUGUAAAGUACUUUCAGCGGGGAGGCGUUACCCGCAUAAGAAGCACCGGCUAACUCCGUGCCAGCAGCCGCGGUAAUUC
rnacentral:rRNA from 1 species